UCCCAGAGUCAUUAAGGGGAAUAAAAAGGUUUCCUUCCUCUACCUGCUUUUUCUGAGCAUUGUGGGAUCACAUUUUACUGAUGUUUCUCUGCAACACAUAAAAAUGGAAAAAGACUUAAAAAACAAAACAGGGCCUUAAGAGGAAUAUCAGCUUUCACUAAAUUUGUGAUAAAACUAUAUGAUUUAGCUUUUAGGUAUAGCGUUAAAAAAAAGGAAACACUUGCAUCUUUAUUUAAUGGAUGUGUCCUUCAGGAGUAAGGAGCCUUUGGUAAGACUUGAUUUGAACACGCUCACAGAAGUCUUCUCCUUGGCCUGCUGGCAUACACCUCCGUCUAAUGGACACGGCAGGACGUAGGGUCUCAUAGCAUUGCAAUGGCACUCGAGUGACUCCAGGAUUUGUUGAAGUACUCCUUACCCUUCACUCCAAGGUUACUGCCUGCAGGUCUCUCCCAACCACUCUCCAUGAAUGACUGACAGACGGACAGAGUGAAGGAUGACACAGUGGGAAAAAGCAGCUUGGCUGCCAUUAGUUGGUGGUGAAAACCUACCCACAUGAUUUCCUCCAGCACAAAUCAAGGUGGGGUGAGAACCUCGGGUGUUUCUAUUUAUUGGGCAGAGCUGAUGAAUCAGAUCUAGAAGGGAUGGAGGAUCAUUAGGUCUCUCAGAAUCUCCUUGGGGGCACUCCCUUACUGCAUAUCCAUAUUGAAGUCCAGAAGACCCAUCUAAGGCGCAACCACUGGUGAAAACCACAACACAAGG